rnacentral:rRNA from 1 species
GACGAACGCUGGCGGCGUGCUUAACACAUGCAAGUCGAACGCUGAAGACCUGGCUUUUGUUGGGUUGGAUGAGUGGCGAACGGGUGAGUAACACGUGAGUAACCUGCCCUCUUCUUUGGGAUAACGCCCGGAAACGGGUGCUAAUACUGGAUAUUCACUGAUCUUCGCGUGGGGGUUGGUGGAAAGGUUUGUUCUGGUGGGGGAUGGGCUCGCGGCCUAUCAGCUUGUUGGUGGGGUGAUGGCCUACCAAGGCUUUGACGGGUAGCCGGCCUGAGAGGGUGACCGGUCACAUUGGGACUGAGAUACGGCCCAGACUCCUACGGGAGGCAGCAGUGGGGAAUAUUGCACAAUGGGCGAAAGCCUGAUGCAGCGACGCCGCGUGAGGGAUGGAGGCCUUCGGGUUGUAAACCUCUUUCGCUCAUGGUCAAGCCGCAACUGUGGGUUGUGGUGAGGGUAGUGGGUAAAGAAGCGCCGGCUAACUACGUG